rnacentral:rRNA from 1 species
ACGUAGGGUGCGAGCGUUAAUCGGAAUUACUGGGCGUAAAGCGUACGCAGGCGGCUGGGUAAGACAGGUGUGAAAUCCCCGGGCUCAACCUGGGAACUGCCUUUGUGACUGCAAGGCUGGAGUGCGGCAGAGGGGGAUGGAAUUCCGCGUGUAGCAGUGAAAUGCGUAGAGAUCCGGAGGAACACCAGAGGCGAAGGCGACACCCUGGGCCGUACCUGACGCUAAGACGCGACAGCACGGGGAGCGAACGG